rnacentral:tRNA from 1 species
CACGGUGGUCUAGCGGUUAGAACGCUGGCCUUGUAAUCCUGGGGUCUCGGGUUCGAUUCUCGGCUGUG